rnacentral:rRNA from 1 species
UAAAGCGUGCGCAGGCGGUUAUAUAAGACAGAUGUGAAAUCCCCGGGCUCAACCUGGGAACUGCAUUUGUGACUGUAUAGCUAGAGUACGGCAGAGGGGGAUGGAAUUCCGCGUGUAGCAGUGAAAUGCGUAGAUAUGCGGAGGAACACCGAUGGCGAAGGCAAUCCCCUGGGCCUGUACUGACGCUCAUGCACGAAAGCGUGGGGAGCAAACAGGAUUAGAUACCCAGU